AGUUCGUGGAGUGAUCUGUCUGCUUAAUUGCGUUUCGCAAUGGACUUGAUAAACAAGUUGUGUUAAUCUUCCUUGUUGGCUGUUGUUUUGGUUGUUGGUGCGUUUACAUAUUUUUGAUGCUUACCCCAGUUUACUGUGCGUGUAUCGUCAGCUAUAAUCAGUGCCUUUGACUUUGAGCGACGGCUGACUUUAAUGGAGGGUUAGUGCACAUUGAGUCCUGAAAGCAACGAACGUGACCGCAUCCUUUUGUUGCCUUCUAUUUAAACAAACUUUUUUUUGUUUGCUUUUUAUUUUUCUAGUGGUAUUUAUAUUGCUGGGGGGAUUUCUUGUCGACUUUAGAUUGGAUGUUUUAACAAAGUUGGCUCUAUUUCUUUCAUUAGAAAUUAAACUAAAGGGACCGCUGCGACUUUUUUAAACCAGAGGAAGGUUGCGGCAAUAACAGGU
rnacentral:rRNA from 1 species